AAAUCACAAUGCGGGACUCCUAGUCUUGCAAUUGGAUUGAGAACAACGUACAACUCUUAUCGAUAAGCCAUUGGAGGGCAAGUCUGGUGCCAGCAGCCGCGGUAAUUCCAGCUCCAAUAGCGUAUAUUAACGUUGUUGCAGUUAAAAAGCUCGUAGUUGAAGUGAGGGAGUGUGUGGGUAUGAGAGCUAGUCUCAAGUACUCACAACCUCCCCCCUCCAAUCGGUGUAGUGGGGUAUUCAGUUAUUCUACUACUCCUUUGGUCGUUUACUGUGAGAAAAUUAGAGUGUUCAAAGCGGGCGUUUGUUUGAAUAGAUUAGCAUGGAAUAAUGAUUGAAGGCUUUCGUGUUCGAUUUGAUUGGUUUGUUCAUGGAAGCAAGGUUAAAAGGAACAGUUGGGGGUAUUCAUAUUCACUAGUUAGAGGUGAAAUUCUCGGAUUUAUGGAAGAUGA
rnacentral:rRNA from 1 species